ensembl:lncRNA
GUAGGGGUUAGACAGUACAGAGACAGGCCAUUAAGGAGCAGGUAGGGGUUAGACAGUACAGAGACAGGUCAUUAAGGAGCAGGUAGGGGUUAGACAGUACAGAGACAGGUCAUUAAGGAGCAGGUAGGGGUUAGACAGUACAGAGACAGGUCAUUAAGGAGCAGGUAGGGGUUAGACAGUACAGAGACAGGCCAUUAAGGAGCAGGUAGGGGUUAGACAGUACAGAGACAGGUCAUUAAGGAGCAGGUAGGGGUUAGACAGUACAGAGACAGGCCAUUAAGGAGCAGGUAGGGGUUAGACAGUACAGAGACAGGUCAUUAAGGAGCAGGUAGGGGUUAGACAGUACAGAGACAGGUCAUUAAGGAGCAGGUAGGGGUUAGACAGUACAGAGACAGGUCAUUAAGGAGCAGGUAGGGGUUAGACAGU